ACCCUCCAUUCUCCACACGUCACAUGGUAGGGUGAUCGAGCUUCUUUCCUUCUCAUUUCCACUCGUCUUCUGGUUCUGCACCCUUACCCUGCACGUGAAUGCUCGCUUGCUCCCUAGAGCCGCCGUCACCGGCGAUUUUUCCUUAAUCUCUAGCCACACCACCACCUCUCCUCUUCCGUUUUCUCCGCCUCCUGCCAUCGUCCUGUAUGCCUCGUUCGUCCACGUUACCCUUCCAAAACCGUCGGAUAUCAUCCCUGGACACGUGUCCCUCUCCAGAUUCAUCUUCCUCUCCUCGUCCGUACACCCCAGUCCAUCCAAGUCCACCCACGUGUCCGUAAUACAUUCCACUGUUACGCAUG
rnacentral:misc_RNA from 1 species